AAAAAAAACAUUUGACGAUUUCCAUUCUAUCUGCUUUUUUAUUUUAAUGGCGGGAUUUUAGAAAGGCGCUUGAGUUGGUAGCGGUCUCCACGGUAACGAUUGAAGCCGGAAGUGCCAUACUCUCUCAAGGUAAUCCACAGUAACAGAAAUAACAGUUCAACUCCGAAUUCGGUUGAUACAAAUAAAUAGUUUAUUUAAUGUCGCUUAACGUGACGGAAAUUCCGAUGUUCUGCAUUUUGCGACGAUAUUCUCUGAUGUGACGUCACGAAACGUAAUGUCCAUGCCAGUGAUAUGUCCUGUGAGCAUUGGGGCCACGGUCCCUGAGUCUCUCUCCGUGUUACAGCGGCGUCUCCAGUCAGCUGAUGAGCAGACAGAGGAGUUAUUGAGGGGUCUGCGAUCUAUAGGACUGUCUGCAGAUCAGCUGCAUGUGAACUCUUCAGAUGGAAACUCCUCCAAGUGUCCAGUCAGUCCAGUGAAUAUCUAUCGGGCCCUUGGUGCUGGUGGAGAGGGGUUGCUUGUGGAGACAGUGUGAGACUCUUGUUGUACAAGUCUGCCGAUUGGAGAGUCUUUUGCACACUCUUAAACUCACAAUCUAUCGACUGGAGACGGACAGAGAACUCAAUCCAUCCCACUUGGGUCAGCGGCAGCGCUCUUCCUUAAACCUAAUACUUGUGUGUGUGUGCACGUGUUCAUUAGAAAAAGAAACAUGCAUACCUUACAAUAAAUUAAAUUUAUAAUUCACUAUCUGAGCACUUUAUUAGAAAACUGUUGUCCUAAUUAAGUGCCAGAUGUGGUUCUCUGCUAUUGUAGCAAAUACAUUUUUACACCGCGCCCUAUCGUCUUAUAUUGCUUUUGUAUUGUUUGGGUGCGUCGAUCCAUUUGUAAUUUGUAAUUCAUUGAAAGGAUGAUCUGCAAUCCAAUUAUAAAUUAUUAUUAUUUUAUUACAUUACUUUUAGGGGAAUAGACAUAGAAGUUUUGGCCCACAGGCCUUCCUCAGUGUGUGAAACAAGAAUGAAAUUCACCCUCUUUUUAUACAAACAACUCUAUUGCAACAUCACGUGACUUUACGUUUUCAAUCAUGAUUUGUCACAAGAUAGAAUCCAUUAGUGCUUAAAAGAUCACUAGGUGCUAACAAUCUCUGCUGUUGCAGCCCAUUCAUCUCAAGGUUCGACAUGUUGUGCAUUCAGAAAUGCUGUUCUUCUCACUACAAUUGUACAGAGCGGUUAUCUGAGUUAGCGUAGCCUUUGUCAGCUUGAAUCAGUCUGGCAGUCUCUGUUGACCUCUCUCAUCUGUCCGCAGAACUGCUGUUCACUUGAUGUUUUUUGUUUUUGGCACCUGAGUAAAUCCUAGAGAGUGGUGGUGGUGUAGUGGCUAAAGCACAGGGCUGUUAAUCAGAAGGUCGCUGGUUCGAACCCCACAGCCACCACCAUUGUGCCCUUGAGCAAGGCACUUAACUCCAGGUUGCUCUGGGGGGAUUGUCCCUGUAAUAAUUGCACUUUGGAUAAAAGCGUCUGCCAAAUGCAUAAAUGUAAAUGUAGAGACUGUUUGAAAAUCCUAGGAGAUCAACAGUUACAGAAAUACUCAAACCAGCCCAUCUGGCACCAACAAUAAUGCCACCUGGUCAACUAAAUAAAGUGAAGCUUUCAGGCAGAGUACAGAGUUAACAUAGCAAAACAUACCAUCCUCCAUCGUGGCUGAGUCCAGGGCACUCUCCCUCCCAUUGCCCCCUCCCGGUUUAGAUAUCGUCCAUUUGGUCAAACCACUUCCACUUUUCCUUGAUUGUUCUCUAGCUUGUGUGUUUCCAUGUGUACACAUACUUGCAUCAUUUGAGAGGCAAAGCUUAAAGAGGUGAGGACAGAGAUUCAUCCAUUGAUAGAAAAUUUGGUUCCCUCAAGAACCUACUCCAAAGAGAAAAAGAGUCUGGGAGGAAGUCAACACGGCAGGUAAUAUUCAAGAAACAAUCUGAUUGGCCAGAACAUUUUGGACAUCUUUUUCAUUUAAUCACCCACUCAUGUUUUCUUUAUUCUUAGCUGAAGAAGGCACUAAAUGAUGGAUCAGUGAAGUCAGAUGACCUCUCACAAUCCAAUAAGGAGCUUCGAGAGAAGGUGUCUGAGCUAAAGAAUCUGGUGUCCAAUCAGAAAGCUCAACUGAAGGAGUAUUUGGAAAACAGAACAGCUCUAAACAACUCACUGAGAAUCAAGGUGUCACUUUACCCAUAGUUUACAUGUGCAGGUGAAUGUAAGUGCCUCAAACAAAACUCUUAAGUAUACCACUAACCUGGCAAACAGUGAUUAGUUUGUCCUCAGAUAUUUAUAAUAUUAACACGAUACAUUUUUUCUUUAAGUUCCUUAUUACUUGGAUCACAUAUGAUCCUCAAAAGAUUGUUGCAUCUCAUAGGUUGUUUGUGUGGGUCAGUCUCAGUGUUUGCUGCAGCUGCAUUCUGAGAUGGCUUCUCUCCAGACUGAGCUACAGUGUCUGGCCUCCACCCAGCAGUGGGAGCUACAGGCUGAGAGAGAUCUCAACCGGACACUACAGGAGAAAUGCAGAGUCAGCACUCUCUUUCCAUCACCUUUUAAUCUGUGGCUCUGCCCCAAAUAGCUCCCUCAGCCUUUAAAGUCCACCUACAUGAUGUUAUGUCGCAAGGACUUUUGAGUAGUAAAUUAAAGGUGUUGCAACUUUCAGAACUGUAAAACGACAAAUGGGACAUCCCACUGCCUCUAGACUUCACAUAUAAGACCGGAAGUCUGCAUCAUUUGGGACAUGAUCUCUCUUGUCUUAAAUCUGUCACUUAAAGCGGACUUGCGGUUUCAUUGUAUUAACUUGCGCUUGCCCAUGAAGUCCACGAGAUUGCAGUGUCGUGUCAUUUUAUGGUUCAAAAGGCAUCCACUGCAACUCCAACAAACUGCUGGAGAAAUGCCAUUUAUGGAAAUGAGUAAUUGGAGGCUUUUGUGCUGAAUAGUGCUGUUGUCCUUGUUUGUGAGUUUGAAAUGGCUCCUGGACAAGAGAGAUGAGACUGAGGAAAAUGCAUCUGGUAUCACAGCAGCUAAACAUGCACAAGCAGAUUGUUGUUCAUUUGCUAAAUGUUUGUUGAAAAUCUUUCUUUAAAAUCACUUGUUUUUGUUAUAUUGUUAUCUGAUGCAACAUGCAUACAUUGUGCAAAUUAUAUGCCAAUGCAUUAUAACUUAUGCAAGAAAUAAUUUACAUACAUAGUCUUAAGCACCCACCCUCUGCUUUGUUCCAAAAUCCUGAAAUUUUUGCUCAAAUUAAUGUCAAAAUUUAAGCUGCCACCUCCUCUAAACCCUGUGUCGAAAUCAUGUGAGCUCUCCAGAGGAUGACAAUUUCUUUUGACACUCAGAUCUGCCUUUUUGAUUUGAUUCCUUGGUUUCCCUUCUCUCUAUCUGUUCCUCAGAUCACAGAGAACAUGAAUGAGGACUACAGAGAUCUGUGCUCUAAAUCGAAGAGCUUUAAUGGUGAGGUUGAGCCACAGAGAGCUCAUGGAGGAUGGGAGAUUACACACCGUCUAAUCCAGAUCAGGAUAGAAGCAAGGUGAUGUCGCAAAUGAGCUGAUGAGAUGUGCACAAAAUCAGCUAUUUUCAAAAUUCAAAAACAUUUGAAAAUGGAAAAAAUGAACCCUGAAGAUCAAACUUGUGUUAAUUGGACCUCAUUCAUUUUUCUUUUGUUUGCUCCCAUGUAAUCAGUUGUGCAAUUGCAUUUUUUUAA